UGUAUGUUAAUUUUUGUUAAGUGGAGUGAAUGGAGUUAAAUCUUUAGGAUGGAGAGAGCCAAUUUUGUUAGGACGAUGUGUGAGCUUUCUAAAAAUUAGCACUAUAAUUCUUUAUUUUCAUAAUCUUAAACCUUAGCUUCAGCCCUUGGUGGUAAUCUCUGGUCAGGUAAAUCCUGUCCGGCUGGAUGGCUUGAAUCAAAACCCUAACACAAACCCAACCCUCGAAUUUCUUCUCCCCAUGACCACCACCCUCAAGCCACUCGCAGAACCAUCUCUCUUUGCCAUCCCAGCCACCAGCAAAACCCAUAACCAUCUCUCUUCUCCAUCUUAGUCCAAUUCGUAGCAGUUCCAAAAUAUAUAUAUAUAUAUACCAGAAAUUAAUGAAACCAGAAACAAAGAGAAAUUUGGGUCUGCGUAUGAUGCUGCUCCUAUUUAUAUUUGGUAGCUUCCUUACUUGCUGAUGAUGUUUUAGCAGCUUGGUUAGAGAUGAAGAAAACAAGAGAAAGAAAAAAGAGAAAAAUAAAUAAAAGAGAGAGCAAGAAGGAAAAUAAGAAUAGAAAACUGGAAGAUGGUCUAUCACUCUAAAACCUUUUCUUUUCUU
rnacentral:lncRNA from 1 species